GCGGACGUAGCUCAGUUGGUAGAGCACCGGGUUGUGGUCCCGGGUGUCGUGGGUUCAAGCCCCAUCGUUCGCC
rnacentral:tRNA from 1 species